AGCCCGCAGGGAUGUCCCGAAUGUGACGGGGCCCCCUGCGGGCACGGAGCCCGGAGCAGGUGCUCCAUGAGGGCCAACGGCACUGACUUCAGAGUGGCAGUUAGCCCAGCCGGUGCCAGUUAGCACCUCAUUAGCAAUUACCGAAAAUAUAAGAUUACGGCCGAACGGCACGCUGGAUCUGGGCACGGUCCAUCAGACGAGCCGUAGAAGAUCAGUCGGCCUCGUGAAUGUGAGAAGAAGCAUUGAUCAAAAUGUUCAGCAGCAGAAGGAAACAUCCCGAGAGACUAAAAGGGAGCGCAUCUCCGAGAGGAAAUUGAAAUGGGUGAAGAUGGUCAAAUCAUAGUCAAAGAUCAGCACAGAGAGCAGCGAAACCCUUCCCUGACACUUGAUUUCUAUUUUAGUGAUCAUACGAUUUAGACAAGUCAAGAAGAAAGAUAGAAAAGUGGUAUAAAGUAUAAAGUUUGACCGAAACCAUUUUGAUGCAGCUGAAUAUAAUACGUCUGUCAUUUGAGUAGAUCUGAACAUAGUAUAUAUGUAUUGUCAAUUUAGAUUUUUUUUUUUUUUAGAUAACAUUUCUGUACUGAUACAUUUUAAUAUUCCAAGAAAGGGGAGCACUUUUUUUCUGAUUUGAUAAAUU